rnacentral:rRNA from 1 species
AGAGUUUGAUCCUGGCUCAGAUUGAACGCUGGCGGCAUGCCUUACACAUGCAAGUCGAACGGUAACGCGGGGCAACCUGGCGACGAGUGGCGAACGGGUGAGUAAUGCAUCGGAACGUGCCCGGUAGUGGGGGAUAACUGCUCGAAAGAGCAGCUAAUACCGCAUACGACCUGAGGGUGAAAGGGGGGGAUCGCAAGACCUCCCGCUAUCGGAGCGGCCGAUGUCGGAUUAGCUAGUUGGUGGGGUAAAGGCCCACCAAGGCAACGAUCCGUAGCUGGUCUGAGAGGACGACCAGCCACACUGGGACUGAGACACGGCCCAGACUCCUACGGGAGGCAGCAGUGGGGAAUUUUGGACAAUGGACGCAAGUCUGAUCCAGCAAUGCCGCGUGCGGGAAGAAGGCCUUCGGGUUGUAAACCGCUUUUGUUAGGGAAGAAAUCUUCUGGGUUAAUACCUCGGGAGGAUGACGGUACCUAAAGAAUAAGCACCGGCUAACUACGUGCCAGCAGCCGCGGUAAUACGUAGGGUGCGAGCGUUAAUCGGAAUUACUGGCGUAAAGCGUGCGCAGGCGGUUAUACAAGACAGGUGUGAAAUCCCCGAGCUCAACUUGGGAACUGCACUUGUGACUGUAUAGCUAGAGUACGGUAGAGGGGAGUGGAAUUCCGCGUGUAGCAGUGAAAUGCGUAGAUAUGCGGAGGAACACCGAUGGCGAAGGCAGCUCCCUGGACCUGUACUGACGCUCAUGCACGAAAGCGUGGGGAGCAAA